AACCCUCAAUUGCUUCCAUCCAGGCAUUACCAAGCUCUCCCACAACACCAGUCACUGAUUCCACCUGGCUUUCUUCAGUCCCUCAGGCUCACAGGUCUGCUGUGUCCCCACACUCAUCUGUCAUUAUCCCCACAGCACCCACCACACAAAGCACUUUGGUUGGGGUGGUGAGUAGUCCAGUUCUCCAUCUUCCUGCAUCUGUACUUCCUGUGGAGACUUCUGCUCACUCGGCAUUAAGACCGAUAUGGGGGUCUGUGCACAAUACUAAGGUUAGAACUGCCUCAUA
rnacentral:lncRNA from 1 species